UUUUUCUUUGAGAGUGUUUGAGUGACAUCCUUGUUACUUGAAACCAGAAUCCUAACCCUUUUCAGGCUGAUGGCUGAGGACCCUGUGGCUCUGGCAGGGUGCAUCAGGAUAGGCACAACAUAGGGGCUGGGCCUGUCGAGUUUCCCAGGCUUGAAACAUCUCUGGGACUCCACUUCUCUGACUUGUCAAGGAAAGCAUCCUUGGGGCUCUGCGGUGGCUCGUGUGAAUCAGGACUAACAAUAGCAACAGCCUUACAUUCCCAUGGCACUUUAUGGUUCUGAGUCAUGUCCACCCACUUCUUUCUUUCCUGAAUAAGAGAUUAAAGAUGCAAACAAGGCAAGUCAUAGAAUCCCCAUUUCACAGACGAGGAAACGGUGAUUUCCAGAGACCAGUAACUCCUCAGAGGUAAGUGGUGACACAGCACCUUGCCUUUCACUACACCAGACUCAAAUGAGCAAAGAUACAGAAAAACUGGGCCUGUUUUAGAGCAGAUACAUUACUUCCCUUUUUUUUCUGUUAGCAUCAACCUUAUUUCAUUGUUUCCAUUUCAUUAUUUCUGUAAGGAAUGAUGAGUGAUUGUUGGUGCUUCUCAGGGAGAGGGACCUUGUCCUUGCCACCUAAGCUCCAAUUCCUCCCUGGUUUCUGGAGGUAUUUGUGCUAGUCCAUGUUUUUGAAUCACAGGAAUACUGAGAAAGAAGAACUCAGAAAAUUUCCAGCAUCAGGAGCGGAAGGAAAUCUAGAAGAAGAUUGGAAAGGUACAAAUUUGAACAUCAAUCUGCUAGAGACUCCAACAUGUGAGACAAUGGGGUAUCAUAGGUCAAACUGAGCAGCCCUGAAGGUGUCCAGAUUUUUCAUGAAGCGAGUUGCUGAUGAAACGACUCUCAGAUGCCUUCACGGUUUUACGCGGGGGGAUUCUGUCCUUCCCCUUUAAUGGGUGUGUGUCUUCAUGCCUCAGCAACACUGAGCGUUCUCCUUUCCUGUUUAUGUUUAUUUUGGAAGGAAAAUGUGUUUACAAAAUCAGUUAAAAAGUGUUAAUGAUCAGUUUCCAGAAUACUAAUGUGAAUUUAAAUUACUUUCACAUGAAUCAAGACAAAUUAAAAAAAAAAUGCCAUUUGAUCAUAAACUGUUUGAAAUUCAUGUUGUAAGUAGUGCAGCAAAUCUGGAUUUUUUUUUUAAGCACAGUUUAAAAUAACCAUUCUGCUGGUAUGAAGAAGUUCAGAGAAAAAAGUCUCUUCCCCAGAGGAAAGACAUCAACUUUGGGGCAUUUGCACAGGAGAAGGUUCUGGGUGAAUAUACCACUCACUUCCCAGAGGAAUAAUAAUGUUUCUAAUUGUUCAAAUUUGGAUUGAAGGGGAAACACAAGUGAUUUGCAUCUGUGUUGUCCACUACCAUUUCUCCAGUGUCUAGGACAGAGUUUGGCCCCUUGAAGGCACUCAAUAAUAUUUUCAGAAUAAAUGAAUGAAUAAAAUCA